rnacentral:tRNA from 1 species
GCGGGGGUGCCCGAGCCAGGACUAAGGGGGCGGACUCAAGAUCCGCUGGCGCAGGCCGGCGUGGGUUCGAAUCCCACCCCCCGCACCA